rnacentral:rRNA from 1 species
GACUAACGCUGGCGGCGUGCCUAACACAUGCAAGUCGAACGAGGUAGCAAUACCUAGUGGCAGACGGGUGAGUAACGCGUAGGUAAUGUGCCCUCCUGCGGGGGAUACCGUUCCGAAAGGGACGUUAAUACCGCAUAACAUGCUUCAGGGGCAUCUUUGGAGCAUCAAACUUCCGGGGUAGGGGGAGCAGCCUGCGUUCUAUCAGCUUGUUGGUGAGGUAAUGGCUCACCAAGGCUACGACGGAGAACUGGUCUGAGAGGAUGACCAGUCACACUGGGACUGAGACACGGCCCAGACUCCUACGGGAGGCAGCAGUGAGGAAUAUUGCGCAAUGGGCGAAAGCCUGACGCAGCGACGCCGCGUGGAGGAUGAAGGCCCUCGGGUUGUAAACUCCUGUCAGUGGGGAAGAGAACGGACGGUACCCACUGAGGAAGCUUCGGCUAACUACGUGCCAGCCGCCGCGGUAA